rnacentral:snRNA from 1 species
GUUCACUGUGCAGCACUUGUACUAAAAUUGGAACCAUGCAGAGCUUAGCAUGGCCCCCGCAUGAGAAUGACAUGCAAAGUCACGGAGCAUGUGUGGUGUUG